rnacentral:rRNA from 1 species
UACGUAGGGUGCAAGCGUUAAUCGGAAUACUGGGCGUAAGGCGUGCGCAGGCGGUUUUGUAAGUUUGUCGUGAAAGCCCCGGGCUCAACCUGGGAAUUGCGAUGAAGACUGCAAGGCUUGAAUCUGGCAGAGGGGGGUAGAAUUCCACGUGUAGCAGUGAAAUGCGUAGAGAUGUGGAGGAACACCGAUGGCGAAGGCAGCCCCCUGGGUCAAGAUUGACGCUCAUGCACGAAAGCGUGGGGAGCAAACAGG